UGAGAGAGGUCGGAGAAGUUCUUCUAAGGGUCUGGCCGAGCUCGGGGAUCCUCUAUAUACAUGGGCGAGGUUGGUUCCCGGCUGCUGCGGAUAACUCCGACAAACUGUUGCAGGGGGCGGCGUGGCGGUCGGCUGGCGGGGACCGCGAGCUAGCGAACGAGCAAGGGAGCCGGACCGGGGAUAGCUCGCGCGCUAGGGUGGCUCGGGCGGCGAUGCCAUGGCAGGGGUCAGCUGCGGCCGCCGGCGUGCUCCCAAGGAGGGUCUGACGGUGGCGCUGCGAGGUACGAGGGGGCGGCCGGAGUAUCUCUUUGGUCUUGGAGGAGACGGAGCCGGGGUUGCGGUAAGUGGGGCUCAGCGAAGCAGAUGCACUGUCUACAAUAGACGCG
rnacentral:lncRNA from 1 species